AUUGAACGCUGGCGGCGUGCCUAAUACAUGCAAGUCGAACGAGCGGCGGACGGGUGUGUAAUGUCUGGGAAACUGCCUGCUGGAGGGGGAUAACUACUGGAAACGGUAGCUAAUACCGCAUACCAUCAGAUGUUCCCAGAUGGUAUUAGCUAGUCGGUGGGGUAAUGGCUCACCUAGUCCACGAUCCCUAGCUGGGCUGAGAGGAUGACCAGCCAAACUGGAACUGGGACACGGACCAGAUGCCUACGGGAGGCAGCAGUGGGGAAUAUUGCAAAAUGGGUGAAAGCCUGAUUGAGCCAUGCCGGGUGGGUGAAGAAGGCCUUCGGGUUUUAAAGCACUUUCAGCGAGGAGGCGUCACUCGCAGAAGAAGCACCGGCUAACUACGUGCCAGCAGCCGCGGUAAUUC
rnacentral:rRNA from 1 species